AGGUCGCUGUCGCCGGCGGCGGGACGGAGCGGCAGCGGAUAAGAUCGUGGCGGGGGGGGAUGAGAAGGGCGGUAGAGGCAGAUGACGACGGCUGGCCCUACCGGCCGGAGAUCGCCGGAGGAAAACAGGGAGCCGUGAGCCGCUCUCUUCCAUGAAACAGCGCCCCGAGUUGUGCGGAAAUUCCCGGCCUCGUGAGUCCACCGCGGAGGCGGAUCUUCUUGUUGUUUAAUUACCUUCGCUGUUUUAUAGAUUCUCCGAUCAUCUCGGUCAGAGAUGUGUGUAAUUUACAGCCGAUCAUGAAAAUGGUGGGGACCAAGAUCGAUAUGGACGGCUGAUCCCUUGCAGGCUCGUCCUCGUCUUCAUCUCAUAUUUUUUUUAAUCUUCUUUCAUUUUUCGUCGCUCUGAUCUGCGGCGAGGGUCAAACCGACGGCAAUACCGGCGCCGCCGGCAAUUUUUCUUAUAAUUGCGUGAUCGUGGUGGGGUAGCUUAUCGGAGACUCGUCCUUCCUCCUGCGCAGAGCUCCUGCGGAGGUGGCGAUUGAAGAAAGGGGACGAGCGGCCGGAGGAGGAGGAGGCCGGCCGGCUCCCCAAUCCGCCGUCAGAUCAUCUAGAUGAUGGUACCUCCCUCCCUCGCUCGCUGUUGAUUUCUACCUGAAAAUUUUUCUUCGUAGAGAGGGAGACCUUUUGUUCGUGCUGCGCAUGGAAGGUAUGGAUCCCAUCACCUCCUUUGCUCGGACGAGCAAGAGAGAUCGAAGAGCUGGCGAGAGAAUUCGAAAAAAACCGUAGACAGAUGCUUUGGAUUCUGGUUGGAGUGGAGAAGCUCCGAUUGACAGGUUGGGGCAGAGAAGGCGCUGGGCCCAUGGCGUCUCGUCGGGCUGAAUUGUGGGAUUCUUUCUUCUAGCAGUUCGCCCGUUCCCCCCCCCCCCCCCAUCAUGUUUUUCC
rnacentral:lncRNA from 1 species